rnacentral:tRNA from 1 species
GGGGACAUGACGCAACGGAAGCGUGCCUGUCUUACAAACAGGAAGUUGAAGGUUCGAGUCCUUCUGUCCCCA